ACGUACUUCCUCCAGUAGCACUGUUUCCUGAGAGCUCCAGAUCCUCCCCAAACCAGCUGUGGCGUGUGUUCAGCCGCACACUCAGAGUUCCUCACUGAAACCCCCACAGUUGGUAGCAGCAGGGAGUGUUAUACUGCACGUUUUCCUGACAUGGUAUUGAUGGGUUGCUUUUUAGAAGUUGGUGGCGAUUUGGAUUUUGUGUCUCACUCAACUUCACACCAGCUUGAAUGCCCCCAAACAAAUCCAAGUCAGGUUGGCGUGUAACAAGGGCAUGCGACCAGUCUGUGAUGCAAAGUGAACUGACCCGGCUGGCCCCACUCGAAGUCUGGCAAUCACUUAAGGUUGUAUAAACAAUGGGAACCUCAGCGUGCAAACAGAAUUCUCUGAGAUGUUAUUUGUCUUUUUAUAGGAAAAAAAAAGAGAAAUCAGAAUUAUUUUGAAGAAAAAUAUCUCUGGGAUUUUGCUAGUGGACUUUGGCGAGGAAAUCUUGCCUCCUAACACUGGCGCUGGCGGAAGCGGCUGAGUCCCAUCCUUUGCAGGACUGAAUUUCUUAAGUGACUGUGGCUGUGUCCCAUGUCAGGCUGUCAGGGGCCUUCUUGAAUGUCCUGAUCUUCUGGAAAGUGCCAGACGUACUCGGAGCCCAGGCAGUGCUGGAGACGUGGACUGAUGGUCCUCGCUUUGGAAACUGAAGAGCAUCGUUUUUCCCAGUACUACUAGAACUCAGCUUCGCCUGAGACUGACUGUGCCUCUCCCGGUGAAAUCCGUGCCGCCACAGUGGAAAAGUGGGCAUGGGCUUUGAAACAGAGAACUGCAAAUUAGAAGACAGCUCAAGAACAAACAAACGGCCACAGCAUGACCCAGAUAGAUGUGAGAAACACGUUCCGUGAGCGCAGGCAGGUGUACAAAACACACACCAUCCCGUGCUUCUCUUCAGGUGACCUGUCGGGAGCGGCACGUGUGUAAAACCGGGCAGUGGAAAGCAGUUGUUUCUAGGGUGGGCAUGGGGCAAAGUUUACCCAUAAAUAACCAUGGGAGACUGCCUAGAGACGCAGGACCAAGGGUUGUAAUAUUAGUUACACACUGGACUGUUACCCAAGGCCUGAUAGCUGGGAUGCGGACACACUCAUCUCUUUCCGCUUUAAUAAUAACUUUACAAGGACAUAGCAAAUGCCAGAAAAAAUAUGUGUAAGGUCAAAACUAAAUGCGUGAAGUUUGAAACCUUUGUUUAGACAUAUGCAUGGGAAGGGAGCUUGGAGCUUAACAAAUAUGAACACUCAUUACCUCUAGCUGUACCUUCUAUUGUUGCGUUUACUCAUAUCAUCUAAAAUGUUGAAAUGUGUUGUUUUGUGAAGUAAAUGUAAUAAAUGCUUUUUCUUU
rnacentral:lncRNA from 1 species